UCCGAAUUGGUGUAGUGGCCAACAUUUGACGCUCUCAUUUGACUUCGUUCCCCUCUGUCGCCAGAGGUUGAAGUGGAAUGCCUGUGCCGUCAAGCCCGGGGUUCGAUUCCCCGAUUCGGAG